CCAGCUCUUGCCGAUCACAACAACAUCAUCAGUCAACAUCUGCACGCAAGGUGCAGAAGUGUAGUAUGAGUACAUUCAACCCUAUGUACAUAGUAAGUAACAAAACUAACCUUAGGUUGAAGGUAGGGACGAGCUAACACAAAGGUCGAGUCCAAUAUCAAUAUUCUGCAACAGUUCAUAACAGCAUAGUACAAGUAAUAAAAGAAGUAUCUUAAAAAUAAAAUGCUCAGGUCGUUCGCAGUUCAAAAAAAUAGGGAUGUUUUUCAAGUAUCUCAGUGAACAUCCAAAUCUUUUACCGAAAUUGCAAAAAAUACGAGUAAGUUUGAAAACUGGGAUUUUCCCCAAAAAUCCUUUUAACAAUAAGUAAGAUGUUUCAUUUUCAGAUAGUAUGAGGAAAGUACAUCUCUAUGCAUACAUGUCAAGAUAUAGGUAAAAUCAUAAAUAUCACCAAAUCGGAUAGCAAUAGGAAAUGCAUCUCUAUGCACGCAUCUCAAGUAUGCAUGCCAAAUGAAGUGCCUCUCAAUGAUAAAUACAUGUACUCACACUCUCAGAAUACUCAAUCUCACUAUCUCGCAUUCUCACUUACAAUGCUUCAUACUCUACACACUCAAUCACUCAUCACUGUACAAUAUUCGUUGCGGCGUGCAACCCGAUCCACAUAUAUAUAGCUGUAAGGAUCGUUGUGACAUGCAACCCGAUCCAUAUAUAAAUAGUCAUAGGGCUUGUUGCGGCGUGCAACCCGAUCCAUAUACAAAUAUAUAAUCAAUUGCGCUCACUGGGAGUGUGCAGACUCCGGAUGGGCUCCUUUAACCCAAACACUAUAUCUCGGUGGCGUGCAGCCUGAUCCCAUAAAAUUUAAUCAAUAUAAUAUGUUGUGGCGUGCAGCCCGAUCCUAAAAUAUCACUCUCACUCAGGCCCUCGGCCUCACUCAGUCAUCAAUCUCUCCAGUCUCACUCACGGACUCACAAUGUCAUGAAACUAGACUGACAACAAUGAUAUGAUAUAUCAAUAAAUAAAAACUCAAACUGAGAUAUGAUUUGAAUGCAUAAAUAUGAUUGACUACGAAAUAUUAAUGAAAUCAGUGAGAUGACAACAAGAAACGACCACUAUGGGUCAUAACAAUAUCAGCAUAAAGCCUGAACAUGAUAUCUAGCAUGAUUGACAGCUCAGUUACUUUAUCACAUGGUGAAAACAUGUAUAUCAACAAAAUAGGGCCACUAUACAGUGCCAUGGAGACAAUAGAGUCAUAAUUCACAGGGUGCACGCCCACACGCCCACCACCUAGCAUGCGUGUCACCUCAAUACCAAUCACAAAAUAUGUAAUUCAGGAUUUUAUACUCUCAGCACUAAGUUUAGAAGAGUUACUUACCUCUAACAAGCAAAUUCCAGUACCGAGUAAGUCAAGUGAUGCUCCAAGAAUGCCAUCUCGCGCGUUCCGACCUUCGAACGGCUCGAAACCCAAUUCAUAUGUUGAAAAUCACCUCGAAAAUUGCCCAAUUCCGAGCUCCCCAACUCAAAAUAUGUUAAAUGAACAAAACCCUCAUUUUAACACUAUUUUACCUCGUUUUUUAUGCCAAAAUAUCUCGAAACUCACUUUUGAUGCCUCCAAUAGAUUCCUUGUGAAAAUUUAGUCACGUUAGGCUCUUAAAUCACUCCAUUUGACCUUAUACUAAGGAGAUACAUUGGUUUCAAUAUUUGGAAAUAGUGUAGAUUUUUUAAUACGAAAUCAGUGGCAAUUUCGUAAUUAAUCUGAAAAUCUAGCAACCCAAUUCUUAGUAAAAUAACCAUAAACUCCUCAUACGAUGUCUAAAUUCAACGAUUCAUUUUGCUAAGACUCCGUAAUUACGAUACGGAUCUAAUGCUUCAAUCAAAACAGAAAUUGGAGCUCAUUUGUUCAAUGUGCUACCAUUUAUGCUUGAAGAAACGACGUCGAAACAUAAAAUAAAAAAAAGGAGCAUAACACAACCCAAACCUAUCCGAAACUCACCUGAGCCCCUCGGGACCCCGUGCGAACAUAUUACAAGUCUCAUAAUAUAAUACGGACUUACCCGAGGCCUCAAAUCACGCAUAACAACAAUGAAACAACGAAAUGCAUUUCUAGUCAAACUUAAUGAACUUCCGAACUUUCGACUUCCAAAAAAUCACGCCGAAACCUAUCAAAUCAACUGGGAGGAACUCAAGUUUUAAACACAAGUAAUAAUACAUCAUACAGAUCUACUCGUGCCCCCAAACUACCGAACAAAGUGCAAAUGCUCAAAACAAACGGUCGGGUCGUUACACUUUGGGUCUUAGUUUUAUGGGUUAAUUCUUCUAAACGUUUUAAAUUAUUAUCACCGUCACAUUUAAUCCUCAAAUGCUCGUAAUAAGCUAACUUUAUCAUUUACUAAAGAAAAGCAGCUUGAACUAAACAAAAUCCCACAAUUGCAAUAACUUCUCCUGCUUUCAUAUAUUCGGCUUCUGAACAUUCCCAUGCGAUAAAUUUUUUGUAGUGAUACUGAAUAGUUAUAGGUAAAUGAAUGCAAGGAAUAGAAAAAUCUUGAACUUUUUGGCAGAUGUAUCUAGCUCUCCCUUUGUGCCGUUAGUUCCUGCCUUGGCUUGGCAAUCAACUUUGUGUCCUCUAUCUUAUAAAAAAUGUGGAGACAUCGAUUAAAAAUCAUAAGAAAGCUAGAUACGAAAAAGAAAAAAAGAUUAAUCUGACUAAGACGAUGUUAAGAUGUUCUAUGUUUACCUUUCCCCAAAGUAUUUCUAAUGCUAUCAAUACUGAAGAUCAUUGUGAGGAACUUACAAUUUUAGAAACUAUUAGCGCUACUGUCUCGAGAGAAUUCUAUCAACUUCUUUUAUUAGAAAGAAUCCACCAAAAACUGGUGACAUUUGAAACUUAACAAAGGGGUAUGUAAGAAAUAUAAAAUUUAUUGGGUAUAGUCCAUACAACAUUUGGAUUAUAUCUUAAAUUUAUUUGCGUUGAAUAAUUAAUUCGGGCUUUACAAUUUAAAUAAGUUCAUUUUAUUAUUUCAAGCUCAAGAUCCAUUUCAUCUUGAGGCCCAGGUUCAUGGCAUGUAUCAAGUGACAUGGCAUAUCCAGUCAAACUCAAAGCCAACAAGAUGAAGCCACGUGUUAAAAUAAGUCAAUCUCAGUCAAAGAGCAAUGACCAAUCAAAGGUCGCCAAAUGUCCAAAAAGAUAUAUCUUGGCCAAUUACAUGCAACCUCAUCACAUAACUUAUGUUAUAAGUUUGAUGACCCAUAUGAGCCGAUUAUAACCAAGCAAGAGAGUUCAUAUGUAACUAGAUUAAUCACCCUCUACAACUAUAGAUAGGGAAUCACAUAACUCUUUGGAGGACAUUCAGAGUUGAAGAAAAGAAUCUCGCAAUUGGUGAAAGCAUCUGCAAACAGAGAGAUUGAUCAUCAAGCGCAUAGUUCUUCAACAAAGGAGUGGUCAAUGGAGUUCUCCCCAGAGAUCAACCCGAAAUAACGAAGUGUUGCUCGACAUUCUUGGCGAUUAAAUACAACACAAGGAGGUUGCAUCGUCCUACAUUCAAGAAAGUCUCUUCUCAAACCCUUGAAUCGCGUAGAAUUUCAGAGAAGAGAAUCAAGGGAUACAUAAAAUUAUACUCACAAAUAUUUAUCAAAAAAUCUCUUUUUCUUCAUAUUCUUUUUUUGUUAUUUUCUAUACUAUUGCAAUAAAUUUUGGUACGUCUAGUGGGAUCAGUUAUUCCCUACAUCUCUUCCUCUUGCAAGUUAAAAACAAGAAACAUCAGAUCUACUACUGCAAAAGGCCUUCCGAAAGUGUGAUGAUGUUCUAUGCAAGGACACUACCACUAUUGCAUCUAUUGAUCUCAGUCAUGGCCCCAUCACUCGAAGCAAGUUCAAGUCUAGUGGCUUGGAUAGAUCCGAAUACUUUACCUCUUUGGGGAUGAUAACGAAGAGCAAAUAUCACAUGGGGAUCGCAACCGCAAUCAUUUGACGAACUUUCUCAAACAACUUCCUACCUUGGCGAAUUUGAGGAUUUGGUGGAUUCUCCAAUUUCAACAAAAGUCAAUGCCUUAAGACUGAUGCAACUAACGUGGACGAAAAGUUUGCGAUGAUGGAGCAGACUACAGAAUUCUUGAAGAAAUCUGUUGAAGAUAAUGACCUUCAAAUCGCUCAACUCAUGCACAAAUUGGAGGCCUAUGCACCUGGAGAGUCGAGCCACGUCCCUGCUUGUUCACCUGGUUUCACCUUGCAAAAAAUGGUUGUUGGGGAAUCGCUUGUCAAGUUAAACAUCACAAGGAAAAGUAAUUCACUUCAUUUUCGGCGUUAUCUAUCCAACAAUUGCAAGACAUGAUAACAAACAAUAUCAGAGCUUAAUAUGGCGGACCAUUACAAAGUUCCUUGUAUUACUCUAAGCCUUAUACUAAACAGAUUGAUUGGAUAACAAUGCCAGCCAAUUAUCAACCAAUAAAGGUACAUCAAUUUGAUGGCAGAGGAAACCAUGGCAACAUAGCGCCCACUUUGUCAAGACUUGUAGCAGCAAUAGAACACAUGGUAAUCUUUUGGUAAAAAAGUUUGUUCGUUGGUUGAAAGGGAAAGCAUUUGACUGGUACAUCGACUUUGAGCCCGAGUCUAUUGAUAGCUGGGAGCAACUUGAGAAGUAAUUCUUCUAUCGUUUUUAUAAUACCCGUAUAACAGUAAGCAUGAUAGAGUUGACAGGCACCAAGCAAAGGAAGGACAAGCCCUUAGUGGAUUACAUCAACGGUUGGACAACGUUAAGUUUGAACUGCAAGGUUCGCCUUUUAGAAAUAUCCGGUGUAGAGAUGUGUAUUCAAGAAAUGCACUGGGGCCUUUUGUACAUCCUACAAGGGAUCAAACCGCGAAUUUUCGAAGAACUUACAAUACGACAUGGAGUUGAGCAUCGCAAGUCAUGGAAAGGCAUCCACAUUUGAUGAUGAAAAGGAGUUCAAGAAAAGUGUUACAUCAAAGAACCAAACUAAAGAAUCUAUGGCGGUGAAAGCAACUUCGGUGAAAUUCACGACUAGUGGUGGCAAAAUAGUUAAAAGAAAAUAUUUAUCCACUCAGAUUAUCCAUUAAAAAGAGAUUGGAUAAUAGACUUUUUAAAAAUAGGUCAAAUAUGGAUAAUAACCAUAUUGUCCACUUAAAAAUGGAUAAUCAUUGGAUUUAACUUUUACAUUUGUAAAGCCUCAAAUUGAGGGUUCCUCAAAUUUGGGAGACUAGGAUUCUCCCAAAAGUGAUCAUAUUCAAGAAAACACGGUUAAUAUGGAUAUCCAUAUUAUCUGUCGGUUAACCUAUUUUUUAUCCGUAUUAAAUAUUGGUCUAGUCAAAUAAUUUAUCAUUUUUGUAUUACCCAUUUUUGACCUGCCCAUAUCCGACUCGACACACCUGUUUGCCACCCCUAGUCAUGACCCAGUAAAAAGUGAAAGAGGAGAAGACGUCGAGUCAACGUUUGAAAGAGGAGAAACAUCGUCUAACCUUGAACGAAUUAGAGGUGAAGGUUUAUCCAUUUUCAUAUUCAGACGUACCAACAAUCCUUGAUGAAUUGCUAGCCAAGAAAGUCAUCGAUCUCCCUGAAUCAAAGAGGCUUGAGGAAACUGGCAAAGUCGGCAAUCUGAAAUGCUACAAGUUUCAUCACAUCAUUGGUCACCCUAUAGAGAAAUGCUUCGUCUCGAAGGAAAAAAUCAUUGCUAGUAAGUAAAGGAAAAAUCAUCAUAGACAUGGAUGAAACAGCGAAAGUAAAUCAUGCAAGUUCAACCUAUUGUUGCUAUGAAGCUUGAGGAGAGGCUCGCGAUGUCACUCGAUUAGCUUAGGAGACUGGAUAAGUUCAGGAAGUUGCAUCCUUGUCACAUCAAUGGUACAACUUCAGUGGAUGCCCAAGGGUUUUUGGACUAUUGUCAUGAGAUUCUGUUAAUUUGGAACUAGUCGAGUCCAAUAGAGUUGACUUCACCACCUUCCAAAUGCAGGCUCUAGCCAAGAGUUGGUAGUAGGUUUUAGAGUUGGGAAUACCAGGAGGAUCACCUCCUCUUACCUAGGCUCAGUUCUCCUAGGUCUUUUUAGAGCAGUUUAUGCCCUACACCAGGAGAAAGGAGUUGAGGAGGCAGUUUUAGCACCUUCAGCAAGGUCAGAUGUCAGUUACUGAGUAUGAGAUAAGGUUCACAGAGUUGUUGUCCCAUCUUGAUUCUGUUUUGAUUCGCUCUGAGGAGGAGAGAGUGAGGAGAUUCAUUGACAAUCUUCACCCUAGUAUUUGCCUUAUUAUGGCUAUAGAAACUGAGAUCGGGACAUUAUUUCACCAAGUGGUGGAGAUAGCGCGCUGUGUUGAGUGCAUUCGCAAUGAGACUAGGGAGAUAAUGCAUGCUAGGGACUAAGAGAUUCCGAUAUUUUGGUAGCUUCAGUGGUGCCUCGUCUGGAGGUCAAGGUUGAUAUGGGAGAGGCCAUUCUAGCAGGCCAGCUGAUUAUACACCAUCACCCAAUCGAGGAUCUUUUAUGCAUUCCUUAUUUAGUGGACUUCUAGUGCAUAGUUCUCAUCGUGCUCUAUCUAUUCAGGGUUCAUCGGUACCAAGUUCAUUUGGUAGGUAUUCUGGUUCACAUGGUUCGACUCAGGCCCCACAGUCAUUUUCGAUUAAAAGUUUCUUUGAGCGUGGAGAUCUGGGCAUGUUAGGAAAUAUUGCCCCCGUCCUCGCAGGGGUUCAAGGCAAAAGGGAGGACGUACUAUAAUUCAUGUGCCAAUUGCUACACCACGCGUUCAGCCAGCUCGGGGUGGAGGUUAUCUAGGACGUGGUCAUCCUAGAGGGGGAUUAGUCUAGUGAAGGUCAGGCCAGAUGUUAUACGUUCCCAGGGAGGACCAAGGCCAUUCAUUCUUAUGCAGUGAUUACAGGCAUUGUUUCAUAUCAUGUUGUGUUGCCUAAAAAGAACAAAAAAUAAAAUAAUAAACAGUAGAUUUGGGUUGCUUCCCAUAAGCGCCUUAUUUGUAGUCGUGGCACGACAUGCACCACUUUACCACUUUGAUAAUAUAAAUUGUGCCCCCAAUUUUACAUCAAUUGUUCUAUCACGUUCCUGGGGUGAUGGUGUGAAAAUAAAAGAACCAAGCAAUAGAUAUCGUAUUUUGCAUUUCUUGGCCCUUAAGUGAGGUAUGUUGUUUUGUCUUUUUGAUGUGGCAAAUUUUAGAAUGUAAGGGUUUUGUUCUUCAUCUAGACAUCUCUCUAAAGGCUCGAUCUCCAUGUCUCCACCCAAACAUAAUGUAGAAAAAUAUUUAGAAUGAGAACCAACACGCCCCAACUCCAAAACUAUAUUAUUUUUGACAUAUUCAGUUAUAUACCCCCUCAACCUUUGCAUCAGCAACAAGAACAUGAUCUAAUGAUUGGUAUUCAAAUUUUAGCUCCUCAAUUUGGCCUAGAAGAUCUUUUUCAGCUUCACAGAGCUCGUCACUAAAUUGUUGGGUGUUACACGCAUCAAUCUUUGCUCUCAAAUCUGCAUCCAAGUUGAGACAUAGCCAAGCCAAACCUGUCAAUUUUUUGUGCAAGAUCAACUCUCUCCUUAAACCAAUCAUUCAUUAACGUUGUUAGUAAACAACGUCAUUUCGCAUACUCCCUUAAUCAAUAAUGUUCGUCACAAUAUCAACCCUUACUCCCAUAUUCAAAUUCAGAAUUCCAAGAGGUCAGGUCAUGACAAGCCAAAAAAAUACUGGCCAUAAAAGUCUUCUGUCAACCAAGCGUCUUCAUCAAUAAUCUUACCUACGUAUAUUUUGAUCCCUAGAUAUCAUGCUGAGAGAACUUGAAACACACUAAUAGAAAAUAUCAAAUAAUUAUUAAAAAAAUAUAUACAAAAAAAUAAUUGUAAAGAUAAAAGUAAAAGUAUGAUCUAGAAGAAUAGCUAAUUUCUAAGUCAUCGGCAAUGGCGCAAAAACUUGUUGCUCCAAACGCACACGCAAUUAUACACAGUCGACAAGUAAUAAAGUGAUAAGUAGAGUGUCAUUCCUAAGAGUACUUGUGAUUAACUAUCAACUACAUUAAACUAACACAAUUAAUCUAUUCAAGCGAUUUUCUAAAGUGUGAUUAUUUAACUACAACUAAUCGAGAGUAGCAAACUAAGAAAUUAAAGGAAAUAAAUCGGCAAUCUUAUAGAUGAAUUCAAUGGGAGAAAAUAUUCUAGAUUUAUAGGUUAGCUAACAAUCCCGUUGAGUCUUCCAAUUAAGUUGUCUAAUUAAAUUAUCUAGUUUAUUGUUGACAUGGUUAAUAUUCCUCGUAGUAUUCUCCCGAAGUACUACUAGCCUAUUCAAACUAACCUAACGCCUAUAUUCCUAUGGAAUCAGGAUUAACAAGAACGCGUUAAUGUUUCCCGUAUAGUAACCAAGCAAGGCGAUUAGGUAUAUCCCUAUCCUAACCGCAAAUCUGUUCCCCGUAAUUCAGGUUUAAGAUCUUGCUCUACUCAAUCCUAUUUGCAAUCUAAAAUUCCAUCUCCCGAGUUCAACCCUAUAUUCAUAGAUACUAUUUAAUUGGUGAUCAAGUAAUAAAAUAAUUAAGCGCUGUCACACCUCCUUUUUCCUGAGGGGGUAUAAGGGAAUUUUUUCAAUUUAAGUGACAUUAAUCGAAAUGGGAUUAUUCUAUUUAAUUUUAGAGUUGCCACUUGGGAUAAUUUAAGGUGUCCCACGUCAUCGGUUUAUUUUAAAUCCCAAAUCAAGGAAAUUAACUCUAUUUUUGAUCCGCGAACAUAGAAGAUCGGGUAAAGAAUUUUGUUAACCCGGGAGAAGGUGUUAGGCAUUUCCGGGUUCCGUGGUUUUAGCACGGUCGCUCAACUAUUAUUAAUUGGCCUAAUUAUCUGAUUAUUUACAUGUUUUAAACUUAUUGUGCAUUUUUAACUUUUAUAACCACUUUUAUUUAUUUAUGGAUUUAUUUUUGAAAUAAGCCAUGAUUGUCGUAUACUUAUUGUUUUGGUACAUAUUGCAAACCGCGUCACAUGAAAUGCACCAUCGAUUUACAACAUGUUCAGCAUUGUUAUUGUUUGAAGUUGUGGUCGAGUCACAUAAAAUGCACACUCGAAUUGGGAAUUAUGUAUCAUGACUAUGUCGCGGGAACCGUACCCAUAGUCAUGAUGUUUAUUAUUAAUCGCGCCUAGCGCACACUACGAAUAUUAAUUCUUAUCGUAAUUUUGAAAUCAACUAUGAGACCAUGAGUUAUGGAUAUGCAAAGAUUGAAGAUUAAUAAGUAUUUUAUCCAUUUGGAAUUAUUUUGGCGAAAUCAAUAUGUGAACUCUCAAACCUACCGAUGAAUACUCUUUUUUCAUAAAUCUCAGUAAAAUUAAGAGUCAAAGGAAUUAAAAUAGUGCACUUUAAAACUAAUUUUAUCACUUGUCUCAAAGGUUCCAUUACUUAAUUUUGACUUUGCUACACUAAAAUAUGUCCAUUGUAAUCAUCCUCCCCAUAAAGCGAGGUUUUUAAAUUGUGCUCUUGAAUCUCGUGAUUUUCUUCUCCCAAACAAUGAAUUUGAAAGAGUAUCCCUUGCUUUACGCUAAAGAUCAGUAUCUUCUAUAUAUAAACCUUUCCUAAUAUUAGAGGAAACUAAAAGCUGCAGCUAACUUCAUUCCAACAACCUUUACACGUUAAUAACUUCAGCUACUGAAGUCAAGAUACCAAAAUCAAAACCAGCCAAAAAUGCAAAAAGUACCUUUAAAAAAUAACACUAACACCACAUACCAAAACAAAGAAAACUACUAAAUCUUGAAACUCAAAUAUACCAGCAAAGGCCAAAUAUAUGACAAAUCAAAUAAACCAAAGUAAAGGGGGAGAAAAUAUUACCUCCAAUAGAAAUAUAAGGUAUUCUAUGAGGACCACCAAUAUAAACUGUGUACUGAAUUUGAGUUAAAUUACAACCAACUUGGAGAUUAAUCAACUCUCGACCAAAGAAUUUACCAAUGGCCUCGUCGACUGAACUUUGGAGCUCUUAGCUAAAGAGAACGGCUUGUACAAGCUCCAGUACAUAACAGCAGCAAACAAAAGCUCUUCAAUCUCAAUAGUUAUGCGCAUGAGCUAAUUUAUUUGGACGCUAUAAGAGAACUGAUUUGAGAGAAAAUAAGUGUUGUGUAGGAUCUUGGUGGAAAUGCUUGAAUCGCGCUGGUUUUUCAGUCGUUGAAGUCCAUUCGUACUUUUAUUCUCUGGACCUCGAAUGGAUUUGUUUAAAUGACCACUAGAUCUUCAUGAUCCUUGAGUGUAAAGGUCGAAUCAUGCCUUAUCUGAUGCUUUGAUAUCACUGAGAUCUCUGCAGUUUUGAAAGAUGUGGCGAGGUGGAGAAAAGAGGGAAAAGAGGGGAGUAUGGCUGGAGCGAGGUCGCUGGCAUUGGAGAUGGGGGGUCGCUGGCGUUGGAGAUGGAGCAGAUUUUUUAGAGGGUGAGAGUGAGGGGUGCGCUGUUUCUAUCAAGAAGGGGGGGUCCCAUUUUUUUGUGUCUUAGCAGCUAGGUUUUUAAUUUUUGGGGAGGGUUUUAUCUGAU
rnacentral:lncRNA from 1 species